CAAGUGAUCUAUGGUUGCGAUCCAUGACCUCUGAGGCUCCUUGCCGUCCCAUGAUGCUGGGACUGAAAAUCAAGUGGAGUUUGGCAGCUGCUUUCUGAGCCAUCUUGGACACUUGCCAUCUAAGAAGUUAAUCUCAUCCAUCUUGCAGUCGGCCACUUAUCAGCUCUAUGGAGACACUGCCAGUCUCCCAAAACACUAAAACAGUACAGAAAACUGUGCAUUUGACCCCUUGGAGAAUCACACAUCCUCUGUGUGGAGACACUGCCAGGCUCCAGAAACAUGAAAAUGGUCUAAAAUCUGUGUGUGUGUGACCUGUGGAAGACACUCCUUGGCACCUCCACAGCCAACGGUGCAAAGGUUUUCCCCAUCCCUCACAUCGAGAAACAACAAAUGACUCCUGCAAUGAACACAUUGCCAUCUUCUGCACGUUGGUGCCCUCUGCUCCCUCACUCUGCCAACUCACUCCUAGUGACUUUAAGACCCGGCCGGAAGACACCCUCUGAGGGGGCUCAUUUCUUUAUGCCCCGAGGAGCACACAAAACAACGAGACCCCCUGGACUUCAGAGAAGCCUCAUUGCGUGGGGACUGGUGCUGCACUGGAACCGCUGGAGGUGUUUUCUCAGGAGGGAGGAGGAUCUCUUCCUGAUGAGCCUCA